AUCGCUUCUCGGCCUUUUGGCUCAGAUCAAGUGUAGUAUCUGUUCUUAUCAGUUUAAUAUCUGAUACGUCCCCCCAUCGGGGGACUACAUAUUAAAUGGAUUUUUCGAACAGGGAGUCGGAAAUGGGGCUUGCUCCGUCCGCUCCACGCAUCGACCCGGUAUUGCAGUACCUCCGGGAAUGGUGCAACACUU
rnacentral:snRNA from 1 species